rnacentral:rRNA from 1 species
UACGUAGGGGGGCUAGCGUUGUCCGGAUUUACUGGGCGUAAAGAGCGUGUAGGCGGCCAAACAGGUCCGUUGUGAAAACUGGAGGCUCAACUUCCAGACGUCGACGGAAACCGUGUGGCUAGAGUCCGGAAGAGGAGAGUGGAAUUCCUGGUGUAGCGGUGAAAUGCGCAGAUAUCAGGAAGAACACCAAUGGCGAAGGCAGCUCUCUGGGACGGUACUGACGCUGAGACGCGAAAGCGUGGGGAGCGAACAGG